GACGAACGCUGGCGGCGCGCCUAACACAUGCAAGUCGAGCGAGAACCAGAGCUUCGGCUCUGGGGACAGCGGCGAACGGGUGAGUAACACGUGGAUAACCUGCCCUCGGCACCGGAAUAGCCCGGGGAAACUCGGAUUAAUGCCGGAUAGCCCCACAUCCCUGCGGGGAACGUGGGAAAAGGUAGCUUCGGCCUCUGGCCGGGGAUGGGUCCGCGGUGGAUUAGCUUGUUGGCGGGGUAACGGCCCACCAAGGCGACGAUCCAUAGCUGGUCUGAGAGGACGAUCAGCCACACUGGGACUGAGACACGGCCCAGACUCCUACGGGGGGCAGCAGUGGGGAAUCUUGCGCAAGGGGCGAAAGCCUGAUGCAGCGACGCCGCGUGCGGGAAGAAGGCCUUAGGGUUGUAAACCGCUUUCAGGAGAGACGAAGCCACUCGGGUUAAUAGCCCAGAAGGUGACGGUACCUCCAGAAGAAGCCCCGGCUAACUACGUGCCAGCCGCCGCCGUAAAAC
rnacentral:rRNA from 1 species